rnacentral:rRNA from 1 species
CUACGUGCCAGCAGCCGCGGUAACACGUAAGGGGCGAGCGUUGUUCGGAAUUAUUGGGCGUAAAGGGUAUGUAGGCGGUUAGGUAAGCCUGGUGUGAAAUCUACGAGCUCAACUCGUAAACUGCAUUGGGUACUGCUUGACUUGAAUCACGGAGGGGAAACCGGAAUUCCAAGUGUAGGGGUGGAAUCUGUAGAUAUUUGGAAGAACGCCGGUGGCGAAGGCGGGUUUCUGGCCGAUGAUUGACGCUGAUAUACGAAGGUGCGGGGAGCAAACAGGAUUAGAUACCCUGGUAGUCCGCACAGUAAACGAUGUACACUAGGUGUCGGGGCAAGAGCUUCGGUGCCGACGCAAACGCAUUAAGUGUACCGCCUGGGAAGUAUGCCCGCAAGGGUGAAACUCAAAGGAAUUGACGGGGGCCCACACAAGCGGUGGAGCAUGUGGUUUAAUUCGAUGAUACGCGAGAAACCUUACCUGGGUUUGACAUCAAGAGCAAUGACAUAGAGAUAUGGCAG